rnacentral:rRNA from 1 species
AUUGAACGCUGGCGGCAGGCUUAACACAUGCAAGUCGAGCGGGGUGAUGGUGCUUGCACUAUCACUUAGCGGCGGACGGGUGAGUAAUGCUUAGGAAUCUGCCUAUUAGUGGGGGACAACAUCUCGAAAGGGAUGCUAAUACCGCAUACGUCCUACGGGAGAAAGCAGGGGAUCACUUGUGACCUUGCGCUAAUAGAUGAGCCUAAGUCGGAUUAGCUAGUUGGUGGGGUAAAGGCCUACCAAGGCGACGAUCUGUAGCGGGUCUGAGAGGAUGAUCCGCCACACUGGGACUGAGGCACGGCCCAGACUCCUACGGGAGGCAGCAGUGGGAAAUAUUGGACAAUGGGGGGAACCCUGAUCCAGCCAUGCCGCGUGUGUGAAGAAGGCCUUAUGGUUGUAAAGCACUUUAAGCGAGGAGGAGGCUCUUUUGGUUAAUACCCAAGAUGAGUGGACGUUACUCGCAGAAUAAGCACCGGCUAACUCUGUGCCAGCAGCCGCGGUAA